GGGAAUUGCCCUAGUAACGGCGAGUGAAGCGGCAACAGCUCAAAUUUGAAAUCUGGCCUUCUUUGGGGGUCCGAGUUGUAAUUUGCAGAGGGCGCUUUGGCGUCGGCAGCGGUCUAAGUUCCUUGGAACAGGACGUCACAGAGGGUGAGAAUCCCGUACGUGGUCGCCUGCCUUCGCCGUGUAAAGCCCCUUCGACGAGUCGAGUUGUUUGGGAAUGCAGCUCUAAAUGGGAGGUAAAUUUCUUCUAAAGCUAAAUACUGGCCAGAGACCGAUAGCGCACAAGUAGAGUGAUCGAAAGAUGAAAAGCACUUUGGAAAGAGAGUCAAACAGCACGUGAAAUUGUUGAAAGGGAAGCGCUUGCCGCCAGACUUGCCCGUGAAGGUUCUCCUCCUCGGGCAGGCCAGCAUCAGUUUGAGCGAUCGGAUAAUGGCCUCUGUCAUGUAUCUUCCUUCGGGAUGACCUUAUAGGGGAGUCGUAGUACGGUCAGCUUGGACUGAGGUCCGCGCAUUUGCUAGGAUGCUGGCGUAAUGGCUGCAAGCGGCCCGUCUUGAAACACGGACCAAGGAGUCUAACAUCUAUGCGAGUGUUUGGGUGUCAAGCCCGAGCGCGCAAUGAAAGUGAACGGAGGUGGGAACCCUCUCUGGGGGUGCACCAUCGACCGAUCCUGAAGUCUUCGGAUGGAUUUGAGUAAGAGCAUGGCUGUUGGGACCCGAAAGAUGGUGAACUAUGCUUGAAUAGGGUGAAGCCAGAGGAAACUCUGGUGGAGGCUCGCAGCGGUUCUGACGUGCAAAUCGAUCGUCAAAUUGGGCAUAGGGGCGAAAGAAAAAAAAAAACAGCUGCC
rnacentral:rRNA from 1 species